rnacentral:rRNA from 1 species
GACGAACGCUGGCGGCGUGCUUAACACAUGCAAGUCGAACGGAAAGGCCCCUUUGGGGGUACUCGAGUGGCGAACGGGUGAGUAACACGUGCGUAACCUGCCCUUGACUUCGGGAUAACUUCAGGAAACUGGGGCUAAUACCGGAUAGGAAUCCUUGCUGCAUGGUGGGGGUUGGAAAGCUUCGGCGGUUUUGGAUGGACUCGCGGCUUAUCAGCUUGUUGGUGGGGUAGUGGCUUACCAAGGCUUUGACGGGUAGCCGGCCUGAGAGGGCGACCGGCCACAUUGGGACUGAGAUACGGCCCAGACUCCUACGGGAGGCAGCAGUGGGGAAUAUUGCACAAUGGGCGGAAGCCUGAUGCAGCAACGCCGCGGGCGGGAUGACGGCCUUCGGGUUGGAAACCGCUUUCAGCAGGGGCGAAGCUUGUGGUGACGGUACCUGCAGAAGAAGCACCGGCUAACUACGUG